GGCGCACAGCAGUGGAGUAUGUGGUUUAAUUCGAAGCAACGCGAAGAACCUUACCAGGUCUUGACAUCCAACUAACGAAGUAGAGAUACAUNAGGUGCCCUUCGGGGAAAGUUGAGACAGGUGGUGCAUGGUUGUCGUCAGCUCGUGUCGUGAGAUGUUGGGUUAAGUCCCGCAACGAGCGCAACCCUUGCUAUUAGUUGCUACGCAAGAGCACUCUAAUAGGACUGCCGUUGACAAAACGGAGGAAGGUGGGGACGACGUCAAAUCAUCAUGCCCCUUAUGACCUGGGCUACACACGUACUACAAUGGCCAUCAACAGAGGGAAGCAAAACAGCGAUGUGGAGCAAACCCCUAAAAAUGGUCUCAGUUCAGAUUGCAGGCUGCAACCCGCCUGCAUGAAGUCGGAAUUGCUAGUAAUCGCGGAUCAGCAUGCCGCGGUGAAUACGUUCCCGGGCCUUGUACACACCGCCCGU
rnacentral:rRNA from 1 species